ACAUCGGUGACAGGUGGUGCAUGGUUGUCGUCAGCUCGUGUCGUGAGAUGUUGGUUAAGUCCCGCAACGAGCGCAACCCCUAUUGUUAGUUGCCAUCAUUCAGUUGGGCACUCUAGCGAGACUGCCGGUAAUAAACCGGAGGAAGGUGGGGAUGACGUCAAAUCAUCAUGCCCCUUAUGACCUGGGCUACACACGUGCUACAAUGGUUGGUACAACGAGUUGCGAGUCGGUGGCGGCGAGCUAAUCUCUUAAAGCCAAUCUCAGUUCGGAUUGUAGGCUGCAACUCGCCUACAUGAAGUCGGAAUCGCUAGUAAUCGCGGAUCAGCACGCCGCGGUGAAUACGUUCCCGGGCCUU
rnacentral:rRNA from 1 species